rnacentral:rRNA from 1 species
CACGUAGGCACCAAGCGUUGUCCGGAUUUAUUGGGCGUAAAGAGCUCGUAGGCGGUUCGGUAAGUCGGGUGUGAAAACUCUGGGCUCAACCCAGAGCCGCCACCCGAUACUGCUGUGACUCGAGUGCGGUAGGGGAGCGGGGAAUUCCUGGUGUAGCGGUGAAAUGCGCAGAUAUCAGGAGGAACAUCGGUGGCGAAGGCGGCAUCCUGGACCGAUAUUGACGCUGAGGCGCGAAAGCCAGGGGAGCAAACGGG